AUUCAACACCCAGACUAAUACGUAACCGGCCAUCAGCUAUGGGCCGAUGUUUAUGGACCACUGGACUAUAUAAGAUCCAGCUUUGGACUUGGACAGGAGGACAGAUUGGUACAAGAGAUUGGUACCGGAGAUUCCGCCAAGGUCUCCCCCGCCUCGUGGGCAGGCUGGAACUCAUGCGCUUAUUAUCCGAAGUACUCUAACAUGAACGAACAGUUAUAUCACUAUACGAUCACGUGCCCGUGUGAGAUAUUGACCAUUCGAACAAUUUAACUUUAAAGACAGUUGUGAACAUUUGAACUUUAGAAACAUUCUUGACUUUGUAAUUACGUAAUAAAAUAUAUUUAUCCUAUUAAUGACUUCGUCACAA
rnacentral:lncRNA from 1 species